rnacentral:rRNA from 1 species
CCGUUGCCGGCAACCGGCGCACGGGUGAGUAACACGUAUGCAACCUGCCCGUGGCAGGGGGAUAAGCGGGGGAAACCCCGUCUAAUACCGCGUAACGCGGCCUUGGGGCAUCCCAAGGCCGCCAAAGGGAGCAAUCCCGGCCACGGAUGGGCAUGCGGCGCAUUAGCUAGUCGGCGGGGUAACGGCCCACCGAGGCGACGAUGCGUAGGGGUUCUGAGAGGAAGGCCCCCCACACUGGUACUGAGACACGGACCAGACUCCUACGGGAGGCAGCAG